rnacentral:rRNA from 1 species
ACUCUAAGCGGUGGAUCACUCGGCUCAUGGGUCGAUGAAGAACGCAGCAAACUGUGCGUCAUCGUGUGAACUGCAGGACACAUGAACAUCGACAUUUUGAACGCAUAUCGCAGUCCAUGCUGUUAUGUACUUUAAUUAAUUUUAUAGUGCUGCUUGGACUACAUAUGGUUGAGGGUUGUAAGACUAUGCUAAUUAAGUUGCUUAUAAAUUUUUAUAAGCAUAUGGUAUAUUAUUGGAUAAAUAUAAUAAUUUUUAUUCAUAAUAUUAAAAAAUAAAUGAAAAACAUUAUCUCACAUUUGAAUGUGAAAAACGAAGAGAAAUAUUUUCUUUUUCAAUCAAAUAAUACUGAGAAAUGUCUAGCAUAAAAAAUUGAAAUAUUUUUCAUCUAGAAUUGUCUCUUAUUAAUGAUUCGGAAAUAGAAAAAUCUUGGUUAUGUUAUUAUUCUUCGUUGGUUCGUUAAAAAUGGAUAAAUAAAAACUUUGCAUACAAGAAUUAAUAAAAAUGUUAUAACGAAUUUAAUUAAAUGUUUUAUCAUUAUAUAUAAAGAAUUUAUGGCAAGAUAAAGUUAUAUACAACCUCAACUCAUAUGGGACUACCCCCUGAAUUUAAGCAUAUUAAUUAGGGGAGGAAAAGAAACUAACAAGGAUUUUCUUAGUAGCGGCGAGCGAAAAGAAAACAGUUCAGCACUAAGUCACUUUGUCUAUAUGGCAAAUGUGAGAUGCAGUGUAUGGAGCGUCAAUAUUCUAGUAUGAGAAAUUAACGAUUUAAGUCCUUCUUAAAUGAGGCCAUUUACCCAUAGAGGGUGCCAGGCCCGUAUAACGUUAAUGAUUACUAGAUGAUGUUUCCAAAGAGUCGUGUUGCUUGAUAGUGCAGCACUAAGUGGGUGGUAAACUCCAUCUAAAACUAAAUAUAACCAUGAGACCGAUAGUAAACAAGUACCGUGAGGGAAAGUUGAAAAGAACUCUGAAUAGAGAGUUAAACAGUACGUGAAACUGCUUAGAGGUUAAGCCCGAUGAACCUGAAUAUCCGUUAUGGAAAAUUCAUCAUUAAAAUUGUAAUAUUUAAAUAAUAUUAUGAGAAUAGUGUGCAUUUUUUCCAUAUAAGGACAUUGUAAUCUAUUAGCAUAUACCAAAUUUAUCAUAAAAUAUAACUUAUAGUUUAUUCCAAUUAAAUUGCUUGCAUUUUAACACAGAAUAAAUGUUAUUAAUUUGAUAAAGUGCUGAUAGAUUUAUAUGAUUACAGUGCGUUAAUUUUUCGGAAUUAUAUAAUGGCAUAAUUAUCAUUGAUUUUUGUGUUUAUUAUAUGCACUUGUAUGAUUAACAAUGCGAAAGAUUCAGGAUACCUUCGGGACCCGUCUUGAAACACGGACCAAGGAGUCUAACAUAUGUGCAAGUUAUUGGGAUAUAAACCUAAUAGCGUAAUUAACUUGACUAAUAAUGGGAUUAGUUUUUUUAGCUAUUUAUAGCUAAUUAACACAAUCCCGGGGCGUUCUAUAUAGUUAUGUAUAAUGUAUAUUUAUAUUAUUUAUGCCUCUAACUGGAACGUACCUUGAGCAUAUAUGCUGUGACCCGAAAGAUGGUGAACUAUACUUGAUCAGGUUGAAGUCAGGGGAAACCCUGAUGGAAGACCGAAACAGUUCUGACGUGCAAAUCGAUUGUCAGAAUUGAGUAUAGGGGCGAAAGACCAAUCGAACCAUCUAGUAGCUGGUUCCUUCCGAAGUUUCCCUCAGGAUAGCUGGUGCAUUUUAAUAUUAUAUAAAAUAAUCUUAUCUGGUAAAGCGAAUGAUUAGAGGCCUUAGGGUCGAAACGAUCUUAACCUAUUCUCAAACUUUAAAUGGGUAAGAACCUUAACUUUCUUGAUAUGAAGUUCAAGGUUAUGAUAUAAUGUGCCCAGUGGGCCACUUUUGGUAAGCAGAACUGGCGCUGUGGGAUGAACCAAACGUAAUGUUACGGUGCCCAAAUUAACAACUCAUGCAGAUACCAUGAAAGGCGUUGGUUGCUUAAAACAGCAGGACGGUGAUCAUGGAAGUCGAAAUCCGCUAAGGAGUGUGUAACAACUCACCUGCCGAAGCAACUAGCCCUUAAAAUGGAUGGCGCUUAAGUUGUAUACCUAUACAUUACCGCUAAAGUAGAUGAUUUAUAUUACUUGUGAUAUAAAUUUUGAAACUUUAGUGAGUAGGAAGGUACAAUGGUAUGCGUAGAAGUGUUUGGCGUAAGCCUGCAUGGAGCUGCCAUUGGUACAGAUCUUGGUGGUAGUAGCAAAUAAUCGAAUGAGACCUUGGAGGACUGAAGUGGAGAAGGGUUUCGUGUGAACAGUGGUUGAUCACGAGUUAGUCGGUCCUAAGUUCAAGGCGAAAGCCGAAAAUUUUCAAGUAAAACAAAAAUGCCUAACUAUAUAAACAAAGCGAAUUAUAAUACACUUGAAUAAUUUUGAACGAAAGGGAAUACGGUUCCAAUUCCGUAACCUGUUGAGUAUCCGUUUGUUAUUAAAUAUGGGCCUCGUGCUCAUCCUGGCAACAGGAACGACCAUAAAGAAGCCGUCGAGAGAUAUCGGAAGAGUUUUCUUUUCUGUUUUAUAGCCGUACUACCAUGGAAGUCUUUCGCAGAGAGAUAUGGUAGAUGGGCUAGAAGAGCAUGACAUAUACUGUUGUGUCGAUAUUUUCUCCUCGGACCUUGAAAAUUUAUGGUGGGGACACGCAAACUUCUCAACAGGCCGUACCAAUAUCCGCAGCUGGUCUCCAAGGUGAAGAGUCUCUAGUCGAUAGAAUAAUGUAGGUAAGGGAAGUCGGCAAAUUAGAUCCGUAACUUCGGGAUAAGGAUUGGCUCUGAAGAUUGAGAUAGUCGGGCUUGAUUGGGAAACAAUAACAUGGUUUAUGUGCUCGUUCUGGGUAAAUAGAGUUUCUAGCAUUUAUGUUAGUUACUUGUUCCCCGGAUAGUUUAGUUACGUAGCCAAUUGUGGAACUUUCUUGCUAAAAUUUUUAAGAAUACUAUUUGGGUUAAACCAAUUAGUUCUUAUUAAUUAUAACGAUUAUCAAUUAACAAUCAAUUCAGAACUGGCACGGACUUGGGGAAUCCGACUGUCUAAUUAAAACAAA